rnacentral:rRNA from 1 species
UACGUAGGGGGCGAGCGUUGUCCGGAAUUACUGGGCGUAAAGGGCGCGCAGGCGGUUCGCUAAGUCCGCUGUGAAAGACCGGGGCUCAACCCCGGGGUGUCAGCGGAGACUGGUGAACUGGAGUGCCGGAGAGGGAUGCGGAAUACCUGGUGUAGCGGUGGAAUGCGUAGAGAUCAGGUGGAACACCGAUGGCGAAGGCAGCAUCCUGGCCGGAGACUGACGCUGGAGGCGCGGAAAGCUGGGGGAGCGAACGGG